UACGUAGGGUGCAAGUGUUGUCCGGAAUUAUUGGGCGUAAAGAGCUCGUAGGCGGUUUGUCGCGUCUGCUGUGAAAACCCGAGGCUCAACCUCGGGCCUGCAGUGGGUACGGGCAGACUAGAGUGCGGUAGGGGAGAUUGGAAUUCCUGGUGUAGCGGUGGAAUGCGCAGAUAUCAGGAGGAACACCAAUGGCGAAGGCAGAUCUCUGGGCCGUAACUGACGCUGAGGAGCGAAAGCAUGGGGAGCGAACAGG
rnacentral:rRNA from 1 species